UAAAUUUGAUUCAUCAAAAAUCAAAAAGUAUAUAAAAAUGUUCGAUGUAUAUAAAUAAAAGAACACGGUAGGAUAUUAUAAAUAUUUUCUAAUAAAAUAUAACACAUUAAUUUAUAAAUAUAAUUUUUAUUGUAAAACUUUGGAUAUAUAUAAUGUACAAAUUUAUAUUGAUUUGAAAUAAAUUAUAAUAAUUGUUACGUGCAUUUGCACGUACAUUUUACUAGUAUAUAUAUAUAUAUAUAUAUAUAGUUAUAUAGUCUGGCUGAGAUACUAUCGAUAGCACCAAGGGUUUGGUGCUAUUAAGUUUUUCGCUGUUAAAUUUAACCCUUUGAUUAUUUUUACUCGUUAGAUUAUACCAUUCAACCAGCCUCCCACUCAACCUUGAGGGGCCCACAUCAUCCUAACAGCACAUUUCUCAAUCCAAAGACUAAAAAACUAAUAGCACCCAUAGCUUAGUGCUAUUGAUAGUAUUCCAGCCUAGUUUAUAUAUAUAUAUAUAUAUAUAUAUAUAUAUAUAUAUAUAAUCCGGCGGAAUACUAUCGAUAGCACCAAGGUUUUGGUGCUAUUGAGUUUUCCAUUGCUGGAUUUAAUCUUUUGAAUAUUUUUACCUGUUAGAUCAUGCUAUUCAACCAAUUACUCACUCAACCUUAGGGGGCCCACAUCAUUCUAAUCACACAUUUUUCAAUUUAAGGAUUAAAAAACUAUUAGCACCAAUAGCUUGGUGCUAUUGAUAGUAUUCCAGCCUAGUUCUAUAUAUAUAUAUAUAUAUACUAGUAAAAUGUACGUUCAAAUGCACGUAAUAAUUAUUAGAAAAAGUUAUAAUUUUUUUAAAUUAUUUUUUAAUUUUAGGCCAUAUUUUAUAUGAUUGCCAAAUAUGUAUCUAAAAAAUUUAAAAUAAUAAAUCACACUAUUAAGAAAGAUAUGCUUUAAAUGAUAAAUAAUUAACAAUAAUCUCUAAUGCAAAAAUUACUUUUGAAAUUAAAUAGAAAAAUAAAAUCUAUUAGGAAAUAAAUUUUUGAAAUUAAAUAGAAAAAUAAAAUCCGUUAUCUUAAAAAGAAAAUAUAUUUUGAAAUUAAAUAGAUAAUAUCUAAAAAAGAUAUUUUAAAAUAAAAUAGAAAAAUAUCUUUUAUAGAAUUUUCACACCCAUAAUCUGUUAUAGAAAACUUACUUUUGAAAUUAAAUAGAAAAAUUUAUAUUUUAGGAUUUUCACAUCAGUAAUCUGUUAUAGAGAACUUACGUAUUCAUUAUUGUUUCUAUUUCUAUUUUUAUUCUUAUAUUUAAAAUUUUUCGUACGGAAAGAGAAAAAUGGGCGCUAAUUUUCCCGCCGAAAAAUGGGUCUGUCGACAGACCCAAAUUUAAAUAUACGUGCUUUUAUAUAUAGUAUAGAUAUAUAUAUAUAUAUAUAAGCGAGAGAGAGAGAGAA
rnacentral:lncRNA from 1 species